rnacentral:rRNA from 1 species
GACGAACGCUGGCGGCGUGCUUAACACAUGCAAGUCGAGCGGAAAGGCCACUUCGGUGGUACUCGAGCGGCGAACGGGUGAGUAACACGUGAGUAAUCUGCCCCUGGCUUUGGGACAGCCACCGGAAACGGUGAUUAAUACCGGAUACGACCACUUCUCGCAUGGGAAGGUGGUGGAAAGUUUUUUCGGCCAGGGAUGUGCUCGCGGCCGAUCAGCUUGAUGGUGAGGUAAUGGCUCACCAUGGCUUCGACGGGUAGCCGGCCUGAGAGGGUGACCGGUCACACUGGGACUGAGACACGGCCCAGACUCCUACGGGAGGCAGCAGUGGGGAAUAUUGGACAAUGGGCGGAAGCCUGAUCCAGCAACGCCGCGUGAGGGAUGACGGCCUUCGGGUUGUAAACCUCUUUCAGCAGGGACGAAGCGCAAGUGACGGUACCUGCAGAAGGAGCACCGGCCAACUACGUGCCAGCCGCCGCCGUAA